UGCUGUCGGGGGGAGUGGACAAAGCCUCUAUAUUUGUAUUGUGUCUUAGGAGGAGGGGGAGGAAGAGGAGAAGCAUUACAGCACAUGUAGGUCACAGUGAGCAGAGGGAAGGUUGGCUUUAUGGAAGCAGGCUUCAGUGUAAUAGUGUGUUGAGCAAUAUCGUGUCAAUUAACAGGCUAAUGUUUAGUAGAAGGAAAUGUAGCCUACUGAUCAGAGCAUGCCUGACGGUCCUAAAACUACAGGCUGCAAAAGUAGCCGUAGCCGGUCACUGUGAUCUGUCUUACACUGUAACAGUCUGCUGAGGGUGAUGCAAUGAACUCCUCCACAUCAUUCCUUGUCCCAAGCAUUGCUCAUAAGCCAACACAGCAGCAGGUCUGGUUUAUUCCCCCCCACCCCGACACACCAGCAAGACCGUGGGCUGACACUGCAGAAGUAUUUCCCCCGCAUGUUGAACAAUACCAGCACUUAUCUUCUGAACAGCUAAAAGCCUCUGACACGUGGUCUGCCAGCAUCAUUACCAAAAAUCUCAUGGUUUAAUUGCCACAAUUCCGAAGGACAUCAAGUGGAGGAAAUUAGCCGCUUCCCGAGUUGGCGUCGGCGGAAUGGUUUCACGCCGCUUAUGCAGUCAGAGCAAACAUUAAGGAUGUUUCAGAGGAAGCCAGAUGCACGUAUCCUACAUUGGGGUUUACUGCUCCAACAAGUUGGCCGGCGUCUCUUCUCGGUGUAGGAUUAUGUUGCUUUGACUUGAGGGAACUGACUGUACAUGCCCGGUUUAAAAUUCCUUUUCAGUUUGACUCCUGUGUCCUUUAAAGUUGUAGCUGCAGCACUUGGUUUGAAGAGCUGGAGGUAAUGUUAAAAGGGUCACAUGAAACACUUUAAAUGUGAUAACUUCUGGUUCAUAUUGUUUGAAGAGAUAAGAGUGAUUCAAAGCCCUACUAAGGAUGCUUUUGAAUUUACUUAUCAGCAUUCAAGCAGGCUUUUUCUUCCCCCCUACCUGGUUAGUGUGAUAUAUCAAGGGAACCUUAGAAAGCAGGGUUUAGCCUGCAAGGACCCCGUUUCAUCUGCUAACCUUGCUGGUAAGGUCAGUUCUUUAUUCCUGAUGUGAAAAUGGUACGUUUCCAGGAUUUGAAUAUGCUGGCAGGAGAAACGCAGCCUGUGUAAUUCUUGAGUAGGGGCUAAUCAGAGCCAUCUACAGGAGUGUCUCGAGUGGUUACUUGGCUGAGUCCAGUGGUAGGGCAGCCUGCAGUUAAUCAGCUCUGCCCUCGCUAGGAGGUGUUAUUGUGGUCAAUGUGAAUUACUGCAGAGACCAGCUAGGACGCAAAGCUUAUUCCGACAGCAAAAAAGGGCAAAUUAAAGUGUUUCAUCGGCUCAGUAAGUACCUCAAAGUUCUGGAAUUCAGUUUGGGCUGUAAAUUCCAUGUUGUAACUGAGGAGUCUUUUUUUUUCCUGGGUCUCCCCUAAACGCAGACUCUAUGGGCCUGCAAAAUUCAAACCUUAAUAGAAACCUACCCCAGCCACUGCCGUUCUAUUAAAUAUUCAGUCCUGAUUUCCAUUCCAGGAUUGGGCUAAUGUUGGCUGCCCAAUGCUGUGUAGAGCAUGAUUCUUGUGGGGCACGCGUUUAAUUGGAAAAGGAAUUCAGUAAAUCUGUUUGCCAGGGUCAGGCUAUAUUGGCGGUUGUAGAAGUCUGUGUCUGUAGGCAACUUUUACCAAUCCCAUUUUCCUUUUACUCACUAGGGUGGUGGUGGUAAUGCUGAGUUUGUAUCAGGCUUCGGAGUUUGCACGCUAAUUAUGCCCACCAUUAGUCCUGUGGGACAGAACUCAGAUUUUCCUGCAUCCACAUUUUAGAACUGUUUGACAUCAUGGGAACGAUCGAUGCGACAAAUUAAGCCUUUGGCUUCAUGGCGUGAGAAGUUACAAAGGGGAUGAAAUGAAGAAAAGGGCUGGCAACUUACGAGAACAGGCUACUACUUCAUCUCUGCCCUAUCUGAGACCAUGAAAGCCUGCAGUCUAGCCCCUGGAAUGAAAAUACUGAAACAACAAGUACUAAGUAAACAACCAAGACUGACAUGUAGUGAAACCUGUGACCAUCAGAGAGGAGAGGGCAGGAUUAGCUCCUCCCCACUGUAACAGAACCACGAACACCAUUUUCCCAUUUCUUUGUAGUAUCGUCCCGUGUGUGUUUAACAAACCCUUGACCAGCCAGCACUUCACUGGUGCAGCAAGUGCCUCUUACUUGCUGAUGCUCCUGGCACAUUCGUCUACUGAAACAAGACCACCAUCACCAGAUUUGGGGAGGGGAAGGACUAGAACGAUGCAGGGGGAGAGGGGCAUAGUGUAAGAAAGCCCCUACUUUGCUGCUCUAAGACCUCAUGGUACCAGGGUACCCUUCAUUGUCUUUUCCUACUGCUUUCAGAGGGCAGCCAGACAGCUAGCUAGCUGAUGCAUUGGUCCAGUCACUUUGUUAAAUAAAUAAGGUACAGUUAGACAUCCA